rnacentral:rRNA from 1 species
UCCUACGGGAGGCAGCAGUGGGGAAUAUUGCACAAUGGGGGAAACCCUGAUGCAGCCAUGCCGCGUGUGUGAGGAAGGCCUUCGGGUUGUAAAGCACUUUCAGUCGUGAGGAAGGUUAUAUCGUUAAUAGCGGUAUGAUUUGACGCUAGCGACAGAAGAAGCACCGGCUAACUCCGUGCCAGCAGCCGCGGUAAUACGGAGGGUGCGAGCGUUAAUCGGAAUUACUGGGCGUAAAGCGCAUGCAGGCGGUCUGUUAAGCAAGAUGUGAAAGCCCGGGGCUUAACCUCGGAACAGCAUUUUGAACUGGCAGGCUAGAGUCUUGUAGAGGGGGGUAGAAUUUCAGGUGUAGCGGUGAAAUGCGUAGAGAUCUGAAGGAAUACCGGUGGCGAAGGCGGCCCCCUGGACAAAGACUGACGCUCAGAUGCGAAAGCGUGGGGAGCAAACAGGAUUAGAUACCCUGGUAGUCCACGCCGUAAACGAUGUCUACUUGGAGGUUGUGGCCUUGAGCCGUGGCUUUCGGAGCUAACGCGUUAAGUAGACCGCCUGGGGAGUACGGUCGCAAGAUUAAAACUCAAAUGAAUUGACGG